rnacentral:rRNA from 1 species
UACGUAGGUGGCAAGCGUUGUCCGGAUUUACUGGGCGUAAAGAGCGCGCAGGCGGUCGUGCAAGUCGCGUGUGAAAGCCCCCGGCUCAACUGGGGAGGGUCACGCGAUACUGCUCGACUCGAAGGCAGGAGAGGGAAGUGGAAUUCCCGGUGUAGUGGUGAAAUGCGUAGAUAUCGGGAGGAACACCAGUGGCGAAGGCGACUUCCUGGCCUGUUCUGACGCUGAGGCGCGAAAGCUAGGGUAGCAA